rnacentral:rRNA from 1 species
UACAGAGGUCCCGAGCGUUGUUCGGAUUUAUUGGGCGUAAAGGGUGCGUAGGCGGCGGAGUAAGUUGGGUGUGAAAUCCCGGGGCUCAACCUCGGAAUUGCAUUCAAUACUGCUUCGCUCGAGUACUGGAGAGGAGGCUGGAAUUUACGGUGUAGCAGUGAAAUGCGUAGAUAUCGUGAGGAAGACCAGUUGCGAAGGCGGAUCUCUGGGCAGUUCCUGACACUGAGGCACGAAGGCCAGGGGAGCAAACGGG